AGCAGCCGCGGUAAUUCCAGCUCCAAUAGCGUAUAUUAAAGUUGCUGCAGUUAAAAAGCUCGUAGUUGAAUUUCGGGACCAUCAUGUCGGUCGUGCUUCGGUACGUACUGGCAUUGUUGGUUUCUACCUUCUGACGAACCAUGAUGUCAUUUAUUUGGUGUCGUGGGAAAUCAGGACUGUUACUUUGAAAAAAUUAGAGUGUUUAAAGCAGGCUCACGCUUGAAUACAUUAGCAUGGAAUAAUGAAAUAGGACGUUUGAUUCUAUUUUGUUGGUUUCUAGGAUCGACGUAAUGAUUAAUAGGGAUAGUUGGGGGCAUUAGUAUUCAAUUGUCAGAGGUGAAAUUCUUGGAUUUAUUGAAGACUAACUACUGCGAAAGCAUUUGCCAAGGAUGUUUUCAUUAAUCAAGAACGAAAGUUAGGGGAUCGAAGACGAUCAGAUACCGUCGUAGUCUUAACCAUAAACUAUGCCGACUAGGGAUCGGAUGAUGUUAAUUUAAUGACUCA
rnacentral:rRNA from 1 species